AAUAAGAUGGCUGAGAAAUAAGCAUUAAAUUGUAAAUUUAAUUACGAAGAUAAAAUCCUUCUCUUA
rnacentral:tRNA from 1 species